rnacentral:lncRNA from 1 species
ACACCGUUCAAAAGGAAAACAGAAAAACUAGCUAAAUAAAAAAAAAAAACUGAAGCAAAUAUUAAUGUUUCCUAAUAGCCCAGAUCCAUCCAAGCAGCAGAACACUACCAAUAAUAACAAAUACCUAAGAUCCAAUCAAUAUAUUUUAUACAACUCCCUUUUCGGAGCUAUUGCUUUCCUUCUAAAGCAUGCAUCUCCUCUGUAUAAGCAAUUUCUUCAUUCUCUUUCGCAAAAUCUGCCACUUGCUGAACCCUUGAAAAUUUAUCCAAAUGUUUUGAACAAAUUCAGUCGCACAUCUGUAUGUAGGAGGGUCAAGCUACUCAAAGUACUGGCACUACUCAUCAAUCUUUUAAGCAAUUAACCAACAAAUUAUAUUAGUUUUCUUUUAUAUCUAGCAAAAUAUGGAAAUCAACAAAAAAUCAAAGAACUUAUUCUAUAUUUGGAGCAACAAUGGAUCCAUCUUCCAAAAUUUCCUACCAUCUAUGAUGUUCUAACCAUGAAUCAUUCUCCAUAAUAGCAAUAAAUCUAUCCACUAGAGGA